CCCUUAGAUGUUCUGGGCCGCACACGCGCUACACUGAAGGAGGCAGCGUGUACUCCUGGAUCGAAAGAUUUGGGUAACCCGCGAAUCUCCUUCGUGCUAGGGAUUGAGGUUUGCAAUUAUCCUUCAUGAACGAGGAAUUCCCAGUAAGUGCAGGUCAUAAGCUUGCGCUGACUACGUCCCUGCCCUUUGUACACACCGCCCGUCGCUACUACCGAUUGAAUGAUUUAGUGAGGACUUCGGACUGGGACCGAUGCGGCUUUCGGGCUGCGUCGGUAUUCUGGAAAGAUGUCCAAACUGUAUCAUUUAGAGGAAGUAAAANUCGUAACA
rnacentral:rRNA from 1 species